rnacentral:lncRNA from 1 species
UUUUUUUUCUGCAUGCCUUAUUUCAGCAAGGUGCUCUUCAAACUCUGAUGUCCUUUCUUCCACUUGGUCAAUUCAGCUAUUGAUACUUGUGUAUGCUUCAUGAAGUUCUCCUGCUUUGUUUUUCAGCUUCAUCAGGUCAUUCAUGUUCCUUUCUAAAGUGGUUGUUCUACUUAGCAGCUCCUCUAACAUUUUAUCAAGGUUCUUAGCUUCUUUUCAUUGGGUUAGAACAUGCUCCUUUAGCCCAACAGUUUUUUAUUACCUAUCUUCUGAAGCCUACUUCUGUCCAUUUCUCCAGCUUAUCCUCCGUCCAGUUCUGUGCCCUUGCUGGAGAGACAUUGCAAUUAUUUGGAGGAGAAGAGGCACUCUGCUCUUUUGGGUUUUCAAUGUUUUUUCAUUAGUUCUUUCUCAUUUUCAUGAGUUUGUCUAGUUUCAAUUGUGAGGCUACUGACCCUUGGAUGGGGUUUUUGUUGGGACUUUUUUUGUUGUCAAUAAUGCUGUUGUUGUUUCUUUCUGCUUGUUUAUUUUUAUUUAAAUAGUCAGGUUCCUCUUCUGUAGGACUGGUGUGGUUUGCUGGGGGUUGAAUUCAGACUCCAUCCGUCUAGUUUACUCCCAUGCCUGGAGAUGUCACUCAAGGAGACUGGGAACAGCAAAGAUGUAUGCCUGCUCCUUCUUCCAGGACCUCUGACCUAGAGGGGCACCAACCUGAUGCCAGUAGGAUCACUCCUGUAUAGGGCAUCUGACAACCCCUCUUGGAGGUUCUCACUCAGUUGGGUGGCACUGAGAACAGAACCCUUUUAACGAAGUACCUUGACUGUCCCUUGGUGGAGGGGGUGUGCUUUGCUUGGUGGAAACCCACUUGUCUGGCCUGCCUGGAUUCUUCAGAACCAGUAGGAGGAAAGGCUAAAUCUGCUGCUCCGCAUAGACUAUGGCCACCCCACCCCCUAGCGGCUCAGGCCCAGGGAGCUCACGGUUUUGUCCCUGAGCCUCUGGCUGGAAUUGUUGCAAUUCUUGCAGGG